rnacentral:rRNA from 1 species
AGUGAACGCUGGCGGUAGGCCUAACACAUGCAAGUCGAACGGCAGCACAGUAAGAGCUUGCUCUUACGGGUGGCGAGUGGCGGACGGGUGAGGAAUACAUCGGAAUCUACUUUUUCGUGGGGGAUAACGUAGGGAAACUUACGCUAAUACCGCAUACUACCUACGGGUGAAAGCAGGGGAUCUUCGGACCUUGCGCGAUUGAAUGAGCCGAUGUCGGAUUAGCUAGUUGGCGGGGUAAAGGCCCACCAAGGCGACGAUCCGUAGCUGGUCUGAGAGGAUGAUCCGCCACACUGGAACUGAGACACGGUCCCGACUCCUACGGGAGGCCGCAGUGGGGAAUAUUGGACAAUGGGCGCAAGCCUGAUCCAGCCAUACCGCGUGGGUGAAGAAGGACUUCGGGUUGUAAAGCCCUUUUGUUGGGAAAGAAAAGCAGCAGGUUAAUACCCCGCUGUUCUGACGGUACCCAAAGAAUAAGCACCGGCUAACUUCGUG